UAUAGAUGUACAUGAGACACGGGCCCGUUAACCCGGCCCGAGGCCCGUUUUUUUGGCCCGGUUCGCGCCCGGCCCGGCACGUAUGGGAUGGGCCCGGGCUGGCACGGCCCAGUGGAGCAGGCCGUGCCUGGGCCGCUGGCCAGGCACGUGGGCCGGCACGGCACGGCCUGCUCCACGCGGACAGCCCGGUCGGGGCCCGUAGCCGACACCGCCCGUGCCCCUUACCUCCUCGCCUCCUCGCCCCAAGGGGCCCACCUCUCAGUCCCUCCGCUCGCACUCGCAUUCGCACUCGCACCCUGCUCCCUCUCUCUCUCCCGACUCGGCGGCGAUUGACUUGGCGAUUGGCGAUUCCCCUCCGACGCCUCCGUCGCGGCGCCGCCCCUGUCCAGCGACCUCGGCUCCCGUCCCCGACGCCGGUGACCUCGAUCCACCAGCUCCUCUCUAACCCCUCUCCCCUAUCCAAUCCCCUCUCUCUCGGUGAACUAUGUGAGUUCGUGUUGUCGUCUCGUCCUCCCCUCCGGCCCUCCCCAGCUCGCCGUCGUCUCUAAUCGGUCUCUGUCUGUCGUGUGUCGUCUGGGUGGCCCCCGUGUUCUCCGGCAUCGGGCUCCGGUAGCACAGGUCAGUUGCUGAUGCCUCGUCUUCCUCCUCUAGGGUAGAUCGGGCACGGCGACUGCGUGCUCCGUUGAGGGACGGUGCUGGAGAUCGGCCGUCCGCGGUGAAGGUCGCCAUGGCGGAUGAUGACGAUGUCAAUCCGGUCACCGGCAACGACGACCUUCGCGCGGCAGGGCUUGUCCCAGAUGACGAAGACGACAUCCAGGCUGACGCUGCUGCUUUGCUCGGUAUCGAUCUAACCUCUGCUCCUGUCGAUCUAAGUUCUAAUCCGACCAACGCUGGUGGAGGGCCUGCUACGGCCACCGAUACUCCGGUCGGCUCCACCAGCACCGAUGGUGGUACUGGUACCUCAUCUGUUGGUAAGCGUAAAUCUACUGUCUGGGUUGAUUUUGAUGAGGUAUUUGAGAAAGUGAAUGGGCCUGGGAGGAUUAUAUUGCCCGUGCUCAUAACCCUAGGUUUACCAAAGUGUCUAGACAGACCACCACUAGAGACCUUCUGAAGCUUUUCACUGAACGACGUAAUGUGCUUAUCAAUUCUGUGUUGCCUGCUACUUCUUCGGUUGCAUUAACCUCAGAUAUUUGGUCUGGUAAUGCUAAGGAGGACUACAUUAGUGUUGUCUGUCAUUAUGUUAAUGCUGAUUGGGAAUUACAGAAAAAGGUCAUUGGUCUUAGGCUUAUUGAGGUUAGACAUACUGGUCAAAAUAUUGCUGAAA